CUUGUCUAACAUAAGAGGUCCAGCCUGCCCAGUGACAUUGUUCAACGGCCGCGGUAUCCUAACCGUGCGAAGGUAGCGUAAUCACUUGUUCUUUAAAUGAGGACUAGUAUGAAAGGCAUCACGAGAGUCAUACUGUCUCCUUUCUCUAAUCAGUGAAACUAAUCUCCCCGUGAAGAAGCGAGGAUAAAAAUAUAAGACGAGAAGACCCUAUGGAGCUUAAAACAAAUAACAUUUGCCUUUCUAACUUCAAAUUUCAGAAAAAUUUCUUAUCUUGGCAUCAUAAUUAUUAGUUUUUGGUUGGGGUGACCACGGAACAAAAAACAACUUCCGCAAUGAAAGACACUCCUUUACUAAGUCAAGGACUACAACCCUACACAUCAACAAAUUGACAUUAAUUGACCCAACAUAUUGAUCAAUGGAC
rnacentral:rRNA from 1 species